CCAACAUGGACAAUGGGGAGAGGUCACUCUCCCCAGGCUCUCUCCAGGUGGCCUAAGGGAGCAUAAGACUCUGCCCCAUCAUGCCCAGCCCCUUCCCACAAUGUUGGAGAUGAAGCCGAGCCUUGAACCUGUACCUCCAGAUUCCUACAGCUUCUCAGAGUCCUGUGGGCAAUGCCUGAGGAGACAAACCAAGCUGCAAAU
rnacentral:snoRNA from 1 species